rfam:Lunatimonas lonarensis strain AK24 S14_contig_95, whole genome shotgun sequence.
AGAGGCCCUCCGAUGGCGGCUUGCGGGCUUGCCCUGACACAGUCAGAGGCUUGCCCUGACGCAGUCAGGGAGCAGCCAUCAAACCACCUUGCGCUGCAUAUCCGGGAAACCGAUAUGUGGUGAGCGGUAAGGAAAAACGGGGACUUUGAUCCCUGUAGGU